UCUGUGUCUUCUUUCAAUCCCCCAGGUCUACACCCAAUGCUCGAUACCAUGGCAGCACGGGCGCUGUCACACCACCAAUGACAUUGCUUUUUCUCUGAGUGGAAGUGAAAACAACUCUCCCUUUCCUCUGCCAGUUACGAGUCCUCCUCCAGAGAACGAACUACAGAGGGUUCUCCAGCUCGGGUCACUCUACAGCCUGUUAGGAUGCAUUUGGAAAUCAAGACGAAAAGAAACUCAGAGGAAAGGGAUAGUCCAGCCAGGGCAUACCCCUGUCCAACACAGAAGCCUCUGGUUCGGACCCUCACCCAGGCGACUAGGUAAUCACAACGCCCUGGGAAACAUCACCCUUCCUAACAGAAUGACUGCUUGACUUUCUGACAAAGGUCCUCCACAAGGAAGGCACUCACUCCACCACAACCCUCUCAAGAUUUCAAAGAAGCUCAAGUGACACAGACCAAAAAAGACAGGCCACCAACAUCACUUUCCUUACCAAGACAUUGGUGAGGAUCCACCCCCAUUAGUCAAGGACCAUAAAAGCCACGGACUAUACAAGCAGAGAGGAACUUUCCCUGCUAAAACCUGAGAGGGGAAGAACACUGGAGGCAGAGACUAGGCCAGUCUCUGCUCAUACGUGAACACAAGGGUUCGUUGUUGUUUGCUUGCUUGCUUGUUUAACUUUUUCAAGACAGUGCUGCUCUGUGUUGCCUGGUUGUCCUAGAACUCACUCUGUACACCAAGCUGCCUCUGCCUCUUGAGUGCUGGGAUUAAAG